AGAGUUUGAUCAUGGCUCAGAACGAACGCUGGCGGCACGCCUAACACAUGCAAGUCGAGCGCACCCUUCGGGGCGAGCGGCGGACGGGUUAGUAACGCGUGGGAACGUACCCUUUACUAAGGAAUAGCCUUUGGAAACGAAGAGUAAUACCUUAUACGCCCUUCGGGGGAAAGAUUUAUCGGUAAAGGAUCGGCCCGCGUAAGAUUAGAUAGUUGGUGGGGUAAUGGCCUACCAAGUCUACGAUCUUUAGCUGGUUUGAGAGGAUGAUCAGCAACACUGGGACUGAGACACGGCCCAGACUCCUACGGGAGGCAGCAGUGGGGAAUCUUAGACAAUGGGCGAAAGCCUGAUCUAGCGAUGCCGCGUGAGUGAAGAAGGCCUUAGGGUCGUAAAACUCUUUCGCCAGAGAUGAUAAUGACAGUAUCUGGUAAAGAAACCCCGGCUAACUCCGUGCCAGCAGCCGCGGUAAUACGGAGGGGGUUAGCGUUGUUCGGAAUUACUGGGCGUAAAGCGCACGUAGGCGGACUGAUCAGUUAGAGGUGAAAUCCCAGGGCUCAACCCUGGAACUGCCUUUAAUACUGUCAGUCUAGAGAUCGAGAGAGGUGAGUGGAAUUCCUAGUGUAGAGGUGAAAUUCGUAGAUAUUAGGAGGAACACCAGUGGCGAAGGCGGCUCACUGGCUCGAUACUGACGCUGAGGUGCGAAAGCGUGGGGAGCAAACAGGANUAGAUACCCUGGUAGUCCACGCCGUAAACGAUGAGAGCUAGUCGUCGGGUAGCAUGCUAUUCGGUGACGCANUUAACGCAUUAANNUCUCCGNCUGGGGAGUANGGUCGCAAGAUNAAACUCAAANGA
rnacentral:rRNA from 1 species